rnacentral:rRNA from 1 species
GCGCGCUACCAUGCAGUCGAACGCACCGCAAGGGUGAGUGGCAGACGGGUGAGUAACGCGUUGGGAACGUGCCCUUCAGUUCGGGAUAACCCAGGGAAACUUGGGCUAAUACCGGAUACGUGCGAGAGCAGAAAGACUUAUCGCUGAAGGAUCGGCCCGCGUCUGAUUAGCUAGUUGGUGAGGUAAUGGCUCACCAAGGCGACGAUCAGUAGCUGGUCUGAGAGGAUGAUCAGCCACAUUGGGACUGAGACACGGCCCAAACUCCUACGGGAGGCAGCAGUGGGGAAUAUUGGACAAUGGGCGCAAGCCUGAUCCAGCCAUGCCGCGUGAGUGAUGAAGGCCUUAGGGUUGUAAAGCUCUUUCGUCCGGGACGAUAAUGACGGUACCGGAAGAAGAAGCCCCGGCUAACUUCGUGCCAGCAGCCGCGGUAAUACGAAGGGGGCUAGCGUUGUUCGGAAUCACUGGGCGUAAAGGGCGCGUAGGCGGCUUUAUAAGUCGGGGGUGAAAGCCUGUGGCUCAACCACAGAAUUGCCCUCGAUACUGUAGAGCUUGAGACCGGAAGAGGUAAGUGGAACUGCGAGUGUAGAGGCGAAAUUCGUAGAUAUUCGCAAGAACACCAGUGGCGAAGGCGGCUUACUGGUCCGGUUCUGACGCUGAGGCGCGAAAGCGUGGGGAGCAAACAGGAUUAGAUACCCUGGUAGUCCACGCCGUAAA